rnacentral:rRNA from 1 species
UAUCAAUAAGCGGAGGAAAAGAAACCAACAGGGAUUGCCUCAGUAACGGCGAGUGAAGCGGCAAUAGCUCAAAUUUGAAAUCUGGCUCUUUCAGAGUCCGAGUUGUAAUUUGUAGAGGAUGUUUCGGCUUACGCCCCGGUCUAAGUUCCUUGGAACAGGACGUCACAGAGGGUGAGAAUCCCGUAUGUGGCCGGCGGCUUCCGCCAUGUGAAACUCCUUCGACGAGUCGAGUUGUUUGGGAAUGCAGCUCUAAAUGGGAGGUAAAUUUCUUCUAAAGCUAAAUACUGGCCAGAGACCGAUAGCGCACAAGUAGAGUGAUCGAAAGAUGAAAAGCACUUUGGAAAGAGAGUUAAAAAGUACGUGAAAUUGUUGAAAGGGAAGCGCUUGCGACCAGACUUGCCCGCGGAUGCUCAACCGGUCCUUCGGCCGGUGCACUCUUCCGCGGUCAGGCCAGCAUCAGUUCGGGCGGUUGGAUAAAGGCUUUGGGAAUGUGGCUCUCUUCGGGGAGUGUUAUAGCCCAUUGUGCAAUACAACCUGCCUGGACUGAGGCCCGCGCUUCGGCUAGGAUGCUGGCGUAAUGGUCGUAAGCGGCCCGUCUUG